AUGGCAGAGGUGCUGCAGUACUUGGGACCGGAUCGUCGAGCGGAAGGUACCACCAAUGCGGCGGCGGCAGAAGAACUCGUGGGAGACGACGAGGAGAUCCUGCGGUUCAUGGACUCGGCGGAUGGCUACCUCCUCCUCAUGGAUUCGCUUUCCGCCGCUCUUCGCCAGGGUUGGCUUGAUCUGGCAAGUGCUCGUCACUCGAUGGGCGCAUCACGUGUUUCGAGUGUGCUGUUUGAUCAUAAGGAGCGAUCUGCUGUCACUAAGCUGCAAGUGGAUUAUUCUGCAGAUCUGCAACCAUCAGAACCAAAGCCGCAUUUUGCUCUGUCGAAGUGGUGCUUGCAAGAAGAAUCAAGCUCCAGUGGUGUUAUCUGUGCACAAGAUAGUACUAAACCAAAACUAAGGUACCGAGGAUCAGAAGCUACCCCAGAUGGUAGCAAUGAAUCAGAUGCAACUACUGCAAAAUCUUCUACGGGCGCUGACAUUAGCAGCCAGGUUCAAACUGCAAGAUCAAAAGCAUUAUCAGUGUUCGGCGCAUUGGUGUCUCCAAAACUGCGAACAACCCAAGUUUCCUUUGAAUCAGUUGUAGGUGCCGAAGCUGGUGCGACCCGAUGCCCGCUUCUCCGCGGCCAUGCCGUCGCUCCUUGGCAGCACGAGGUUGCUGAUGGUCCUGACGAUCUGCCGCUUCAGCUGCCCCCUCUUCAGCGGGGGCCUCUUCUCCUUUGCGCCGCCGUAGUUGCUGAUGCCGCUGCUGCUGCUGUAGGAGUGCUCCAUGGCUCCACCUGUGUUGUGCUCCUUCUUCUUCUUCUUCUUCUUCUUCUUCUUGUGUGUGUGUGUGUCUUGUGUUUGGUCCCUUUGCUUAAUGUGAAGAGGACAUGA
rnacentral:rRNA from 1 species